rnacentral:rRNA from 1 species
CCUACGGGAUGCAGCAGUGAGGAAUAUUGGUCAAUGGCCGGAAGGCUGAACCAGCCAAGCCGCGUGAAGGACGAAGGUGCCAAGCAUUGUAAACUUCUUUUGUCAAGGGACAAAAUCAGGCUCGAGAGCCUGACCGAGGGUCCUUGAAGAAAACACAUCGGCUAACUCCGUGCCAGCAGCCGCGGUAAUACGGGGGAUGCGAGCGUUGUCCGGAUUUAUGGGGGUUAACGGGUGCGUCGGAGGACGUUUAAGUCAGCGGUAAAAUGCCGGGGCUCAACCCGGGCGAGCCGUUGAAACUGGCUGUCUGGAGAUGUCGAGAGGUAUGCGGAAUGCGCAGUGUAGCGGUGAAAUGCUUAGAUAUUGCGCAGAACUCCGAUUGCGAAGGCAGCAGACCGGCGGAGAUCUGACGCUGAGGCACGAAAGCGUGGGUAUCGAACAGGAUUAGAUACCCGAGUAGUC